rnacentral:rRNA from 1 species
CGUCUAUAUACGUAUAGCAUAUCAAUAAGCGGAGGAAAAGAAACUAACAAGGAUUCCCCUAGUAACGGCGAGUGAAGCGGGAAGAGCUCAAAUUUGAAAUCUUCAAGGGUUUCCCUUGACGAAUUGUAGUUUAAAGAAGUGUUUUCUGUUAGAGAGGUGGUAAAAGUUCUUUGGAAUAGGACAUCAUAGAGGGUGAGAAUCCCGUAUUUGAUCACUUUCUACUAACGUUGUGAUACACUUUCAAAGAGUCGGAUUGUUUGGGAAUGCAGUCCAAAAUGGGUGGUAAAUUUCAUCUAAAGCUAAAUAUUGGCGAGAGACCGAUAGCGAACAAGUACCGUGAGGGAAAGAUGAAAAGAACUUUGAAAAGAGAGUUAAACAGUACGUGAAAUUGUCAAAAGGGAAGCGUUUGACACCAGUGUUGUUUUUCCGAAAAUCAAUUAGGAAUGGCCGGAUUUUAAGUUUCAUGACCUUAAAAGCAUUGUUUCUUAUUUUUCUUGUCUUUCUUAAUGCACUCUUCGGUUAACAAGUCAACAUCAAUUUCUUUUGUUGUAAAAGGUUAAGAGGAAGGUGGCUUCACUUUCGGGUAAAGUGUUUAUAGCCUUUUAACUCUGCAAUCGGAGAGAUUGAGGUCUGCAGCGUAGAUCCUUCGGGGCUAGAUACACUUUGUGCUAAGUUAUAGCUUUUCAUAGACAACUUGUUGACUAUGUUUAGUCUUGUAGCUUACUCGCAUGCGCUAUUUUACCUACGCUUAGGAUGUUGACACACGCGCGUGCUC